GGGGGCGUAGCUCAGCUGGGAGAGCGCUUGACUGGCAGUCAAGAGGUCAGGGGUUCGAUUCCCCUCGUCUCCACC
rnacentral:tRNA from 1 species